rnacentral:rRNA from 1 species
UGGGGAAUAUUGCACAAUGGGCGCAAGCCUGAUGCAGCCAUGCCGCGCGUGUGAAGAAGGCCUUUGGGUUGUAAAGCACUUUCAGCGGGGUGGAAGGCGGUGAGGUUAAUAACCUCAUCGAUUGACGUUACCCGCAGAAGAAGCACCGGCUAACUCCGUGCCAGCAGCCGCGGUAAUACGGAGGGUGCAAGCGUUAAUCGGAAUUACUGGGCGUAAAGCGCACGCAGGCGGUCUGUCAAGUCGGAUGUGAAAUCCCCGGGCUCAACCUGGGAACUGCAUUCGAAACUGGCAGGCUAGAGUCUUGUAGAGAGGGGUAGAAUUCCAGGUGUAGCGGUGAAAUGCGUAGAGAUCUGGAGGAAUACAGGUGGCGAAGGCGGCCCCCUGGACAAAGACUGACGCUCAGGUGCGAAAGCGUGGGGAGCAAACAGG